rnacentral:lncRNA from 1 species
CUGGUCCUGCACCAACUUGGUAUCAGAGCCGUCGGCUUUGCCCCUGCUGCCAAAGCCACGACCUAGGUUAUCUGCCAAAGCCUUGAGGUCUAGCUUCUCUCUCCCGGCUACUUCUUCCGAACCGAGAGCCAAAAAAAAAAAAAGAGAAAAAGAAAUCCUUUCUUCCCUCUCUCGGUUCUCACACAAGGAACAGGGAAAGAUCCCGUCGCCAGGUCCACCCCACCCGUCGUCACACCCGCGCCCACCGCCGCCACCAGUCGCCGCCAGCAGCGCCGAGCCACCGUCGGACGUUCUCGCCGCCGCCGCUGCCCAGUGAAGGCCCGAGCCCGCCGUCGGAGGAGCCAUUUCCCCACGGAAACGUCGCCGCUCAGGUUCCCGUGCCUGUUGACGCCGCCCGUG